rnacentral:rRNA from 1 species
ACCAACCGGGAUUGCCUUAGUAACGGCGAGUGAAGCGGCAAAAGCUCAAAUUUGAAAUCUGGUACCUUCGGUGCCCGAGUUGUAAUUUGGAGAGGGCAACUUUGGGGCCGUUCCUUGUCUAUGUUCCUUGGAACAGGACGUCAUAGAGGGUGAGAAUCCCGUGUGGCGAGGAGUGCGGUUCUUUGUAAAGUGCCUUCGAAGAGUCGAGUUGUUUGGGAAUGCAGCUCUAAGUGGGUGGUAAAUUCCAUCUAAAGCUAAAUAUUGGCGAGAGACCGAUAGCGAACAAGUACAGUGAUGGAAAGAUGAAAAGAACUUUGAAAAGAGAGUGAAAAAGUACGUGAAAUUGUUGAAAGGGAAGGGCAUUUGAUCAGACAUGGUGUUUUGUGCCCUCUGCUCCUUGUGGGUAGGGGAAUCUCGCAUUUCACUGGGCCAGCAUCAGUUUGGUGGCAGGAUAAAUCCAUAGGAAUGUAGCUUGCCUCGGUAAGUAUUAUAGCCUGUGGGAAUACUGCC